GCUGAAACUUUGAUCUUGAACUUCCCAGCCUCAAGACCUGUACUUCUGUCCUCUGUGGUGGAGAAUAAAGGGAAGCCAGGAAGUGUGGGUCAGGAUCUCUGGGAAACUGCUGGCUUCUAGCAAGGCUGGCACGGGUGUGUUCCCAUGGAAGGAAAGAACCAAAGGUGCUGCUUACCCUUGGAACUCAGCUGCUAUUUUGUAAGGAAGUCCAUGCCUCUGCUAGAUCUGCAGCCAAUAGCCAGCCUCACCACCAGAUGUGUAAAUGAGCCUCAGAUGAUGCCAGCCUCACCCUUCGAGUCUUCCAGUUGAGGCCCCAUUGUGCAGAAGACAUAAGGCAUUCCCACAUGCCCUGUCUGAACUUCUGACCCACAAACACUAUCAGAGAUAAUAAAUGAUCAUUGUUUUAAGUUACUAAGUUUUAAGUUACUUAAUUAUGCAGCAAUAAAUAGAUAAUCAAUACAAAGGCGCAUACUGUUCCAUGUAUAAAUGUCUACCGUAUCUUUCAUGCCUUCUUCCAACCCUAACUUGUAACACUUUUGUAGCAAUUAGUGCCCAAUUUGCACAUGAAAUACAAAUCAUAUUUCUGUAAAUGGUCAUGAGGGUUAAAUAAAGAUCAUACAUGAAAGAGCCAGGCAGGGUGUUCAGUAAUAUGAAGUACUCAGUAAAUGUUAACUACACACGAAUUUGCUGAAACAUGUUUCUUAUGUUUAAAUAAUGAAUUUGCUUUUCCUUGUAUAUCUUGCCUGUAUGACACAAAAGGACACAGUCUGAUCACAUCAGUUCAGCAAAGGCAAGCCUCAUCAGUUGGUAAAAAAAAUUGGUUUAAUGAAUUGCAAUCACACAAACAAAACUACAACUUACUUGAUUAAGUUUUCCACCUCUCAUCUGGUUUCUCUACCUUAUAUUUGUAUUCUGAUUCUGUCCUUUUAUUGGUUUUCCUUUCCUUUUAAGUCCUUGGAUGAAUUUUUAAAUAUCUAUUGCAUUUUUUUAUGUGGCCAAAGUCUCUUGAAUAAGGUCUUAUUGAAAUUUCUUCAAUGGCUGGAUAAAAUUGCAUCCCAACUCAAUUUUUGCAUCCUGGCACAGGAAGUGGUCUCAAGUAUUGCAGAACUGGAUGGAGACUCGUAGGCCCUCUGGGCAGGCUAAUACUUUGCUUUCCCAUCACAUGGAUAUUCAUAAAAUAUUUGUUAGAUGUUAUGUAGGAGUGAGGCUAGAGAAGGCUAGCAGGACCAGGGCUUACUCACAUUCUGGCUCUGUAAGACAGUGAUCUGGCUGUGAUGGCCACAGUUGAUUGGCUGUCUUCUCAGCCCUCCGCAAAUGCACUCAUCGGGAGCAGGUUAACCUUCUCAAGUAGAGGAUGUUCCUGUGUUCUGUCAAGGAUAUACAGGACACAGUCUGUGCCGAUGCUUUUUUCGUGCAUGAAACAUAUCAUCUUAAGAAGAUUUGCAAGUCCGUUUGUGUGUAGUACAGCAGCAAGGAUCGUAGACCUGGUGUCAGCAAGCCUGGACACACAGUUUCUCUGAGCCUUUCAAAUGAAGGUCUUGGAUAAAAUCACUUUUAAAGCUCUUGCCUGCUAUAUUAUUUCAUCUCUUUCUUAUAUGAGCUGCAUGAUAAAUGAGUAUAGAAAAAAGAAUACACAUGCUUUACAAGAGAAAUUCAAAAGAAUUAACCUAUAUAUCCUUUUAGGUUAAUUAAAAUAGAAUUCUGACUUACGAGGUUUCCAUCUAAUUCAGAGCUAAUACUUUAAAGUUUUUACAAAAUCUUCGUAAAACAAAACCAGUGAGUAAUAUAUUACCAACUAUAGGAUUCAUGAAAAAAUGGGAGUCAAAUGAAGCACUGCCACAUUGAUCAAAUCAUUGUACAAUUUUUAGAAAUAACAGCAUGUGAACCUUGAUGUCACUGCUGCAAAUGCAUUUCUAUAUUUUGUGUAUAGUUUUGAAAAAUUUGUAGCCUGAUGCUACAAAUAUGUAAUAUAAUUUCCUUCAGAAAAUAAUAUUUAUAAUUAUCAGUACCCAAUGAUUGCAUGCAAGAGAAGUUUACUUGUUGGCUGAAUUACAUUUAUUGAGAAGUAAGAAAAUAAAAGAUCCUGGAACGAUCACUACAGUAACGAAACGGCUGAGUUGCCCACAGUUAAACUGCUGGGACUACCAGUUGGAAAUCAGACAAUGAAGAAGGAGAAGACAUGAGUUCUAAUAAGGUGAAAAUUGUUCUUCAGGGAAAAUGGAAUAUUAAACAUAGUUUGGUUUUGCAAACACUCUAGGUUAUGUAAAAUGUAAAGAUGAAGCUAGAAAUUCAAGUCUGGAAAGAACUAUAGAUACCUAGAUACACUGAGCUUUGACUACAGUGGCCUAUUUAUACAUAGCUACUGGUUACUUCCACUGAAUUGUAUUUACGAUUUAAAAUUUAUGAGAUUUUAAUGAAUUAAAUAAAAGUCUGUGGCUGUAGAAAAGCUAUUUCUCUUGUCCUGAAAAUGCUCUGAUUGCUUUAAUUUUCUCACAACUCCCUUUUUUUCUUUUCACUCUUCUCUCUCUCUGCCCCAUUCUUUCUCUCAAGGUUGGGGUGUUCUUUCUUGUGUAAGCUGCUGCAUAGAGGUGAGAUAUAGGAUAUAUAGAGAGUGCUGAUUAAUUUAUAAAAUCUUGAAGUUCCUUUCCAUUGUUAAUUUAUUUUAAAAGUUAUUUCAUCAUAUUAAUGAAAAUUAAAUAAUAUUCUGCAAAAUAACUGGCUUGUAUUUGUCAAAAAUUCAAGUUCAAGAAAGGCAACGAAAAACUGAGGAGCCAUUUGAAAUUGCAGAAGACACAAGAGUUGACAACGAAAUGUAGUCCACCUGAUUUGAGAUUUCAUCCUGUACUGGAAUAUUUAGAAGAAGGAGCACAAGAAAGAGGACACCCUUAACAGAAAAGUUAUUCAUUUCCAAUUUAAGACUCAUCAAGGGAUAAAAUCUGAAAACUUAUAAAGGAUACUUAUUACAGAAAAAAUUUAAGGGGAAACUGGUGCUGUGGAGAGACCCAUGUGGAAAGGAACUGAGGACUCCCGGCAAAAGUCACCAAGGACCGAGGUUGCUGACAGCUGCAUGUGAACUCGGAAGCAGAUCAAUCCUUGCCCAAGCCCACACUUUGUCUACAGCCUUGGUGAGAGACCCUGAGCCAGGGAUGCACAUCCAAGCUGCACCCAAACUCUUGACCCACAGAAACUGUGAGAUGAUGAAUGUGUUUAAGCCCCCAUAUUGUGGAGUCAUUUAUUACACAGCAAUAGAUGGCUAAGAUGAGCACUAUUUUUAUCCCCUUGUGAGUUCAUGGCUUGGUCUCCCUACCUCCCACUGACUAAAUGUGGCUAAAGCAAAAUCCAAUAACCAGCUGUCUCUGAACAAUAUUAACUGAAUGCCUACUGUUUACUAGCAUGACAGGAAUUCAAAAGAGUUUAUGAGGGAAAUGGCCACAGUGAGGCAGAGGAUUUACAUGCUGGGAAGGCUUCAUCCUGGCAAAUUACCCAGGGCAGACCUUCCCUCCUUCACUGUCUAAAAUAUCCAACUCUUAUAGUUUCAAAUCCCCAUCUCUUAUUGUCUGUCUUAUAGAAACCACCCUGACUCCUCAAAUACAGUCACUCCAUUCCCUAUGA
rnacentral:lncRNA from 1 species